CUUCAGCCCCUUCUGCGGGCUCCGCAGUUCUUAUAGCUUGGCCUCGUCGUUCUACUCCAGGCUCCAGUUGAAGAAGUCGGGAGAGAGCAUCCAAGAGCAUCUGCAGCCUGGGCAGGGCAAGUCCUCUGGCCUGGCUGCAAAUAAAAGCAGAUCACCGAGUAAUGGAAGUGACCAUUAUCUGAAGCUUCAUUCUGACCAUUAUUUGACUACAUGAGAAUCAACACAACACUCAAAUGACUAUUCCUAAUGGCCUUUCCAUUUGCUUCCUUGUACUUUUGAUCACUGUGAAUGAAUUCCAUCACUGAGCACAUCAUGUCCAAAGGCCACUGUAAUAAGCACUCUGGGCAUCAGCAAAUGAAGUUAAGGAAGCUUACAAAGUAAUAAAGAAGACAAGUACACUAUGUAUUGGAUAUGUGCCAAUAGCUAUAAAGAUUAUUAAAGCAAACAGCUUAAAUGACCUCAGAUGCAAAGACUAAACGACCAUGGUUCAUUACCUUGCUUGCUUCUCAUAUACUUGCUGAUGUGUUAAGAGCUUCAGGUGAAGAAGACCCCCAUUUAAGCCACUGAAUUAGGAUUGAAGGAUCAGCACAGAUAUAAGCCAUCUGCCAAGUGUUUCAUGAUUGGUGACCAUUAGUAACAAGUGCAUGUGAGCAUCUGUAGUUUCACAUAUACUCAUACAUAGAAACAUGCAAAUGAAAAACAGCACAAACCAUAGAUUCUCCUUAUUCUUUUGACAGAAAACUGGUCAUUUGAAAACCAUUUAUUAGCUAUCCACCAUGUGUCAGGCAUUGUGCUAUGUGCUAUAUACUCAAAGACAAAAAUCACACCACCCCCAGCCUGCAAGAAACUUACAUAAUAACUGGGGAUAAAUAUUGUAAAUAUAUGGACAGUGGGCAAUAAUUGGAAAUAUUCCUGGUCCAACUGAAAACAAACAUGAGUUCAGGUCCAGGCUUUCCCACUAAUAAGUUAUAUGACCUUCAUCAUGUUAUUGUCAAAUCCCUGAGCCUCAAUUUCAUCAUAUGUAAAAUAAUGAAGCUGAACCUAGAUUAUUUCAGAUCUAAAAUUCAGUGAUUCUAUGAGGAAAACCAGAGGAUAGCAGAUAUACCAAAUCUGGAAAUGUUGUGGAGAAAAUCAGAUUCAAACAUAAUUCUGAAGACAAGAAGAAUUAAGGAUUGGAUUAUUAAUCAGUGGUUACUCUUCAAUCAACCAAAAUGAUUCUGCUUACUGAAGGUAUUCAGGAUAUUAAGGGAUGCUGCUAAAAGUCCUCUAUUAAAAAACAAGCAAAAGUAUCUGAUGUUAUAUCUGUGAAACAGGGGUCAUUUCUUUGGAUUAUGAUAUUCUUCUCCAGAAAUACCUAUUAUAAUGUAACUUCUUUGCAAAAUUCUCCUCAUUUUGAAUUAUUUAACAAUUAGAAAAUCUGAAGGUAAUGGGACAUAUUUAAAUGACAAUAAAGUGGAAAGAACUAGCAUGAACCAUUUCCAUUAAAAAGAAGGUCUUGUACACACACAAACACAUUCACACUUCAUGUAUUUAUACAUUCAGGACCCUGACAGGAUAUAAGUACCUGAAGUCAAGGUGGCUGCAUUUUGGGGAGGGGAAAAAGAAAAAAAAACAAAAUAUGGAGGUAGAAGGCAAACUUUGUCUUUGGAAUUCAUGUACUGGAACAUCUUUCUAUUUUCAGAAAGAAGACUUUGUUGUUAAAUAUUCAUAUAUUUUUGGUAUAGUGGGAGAGAAUGUUGAGUAGAGGAAGAGAUUAAGUGUUUGACUUGGAAUCAGGAAGAUUUGCAUUCCAUUCUGCCUUAUAUACUUAUUUGUCAAGUGAUUCUAGGCAUGUCCCUAACCUUUUGGGUCCCCAGUUUCUUCAUCUGUAAAAUGAAGCAUUUGGACUCAUUGGCCUCUUAAGUCCCUUCCAGGUCUACAUUUAUUAUCCUAUGUCCAAGAUUCAGAAGGAGAAAUAGUAGACACUGGUGAUUUGUACAUAUUAGGAAGUUAAUUGACAAAUUGAACUUAAAGAAGGUAUAGUGGACUGAACUCAGACCAAAUGUGAUUCUUACUAGCCAGGGCCAGUUAAAAAAACCUCUCUAAAUCUCAGGUUUCUUUUGUAAAAUGGGAAUAAUACUUGAACUAGCUACCUCACCAGUUUGUGAGGAAAUACUCAAAUGAUCUGUGAUAUCAUUAACAUGGAUGUUUCCUCCAACAGUGGAGAUGGAAACCUAUCCAUACCUAUUCAUCCUGUGUAACUCUUGUACAUUUCUUCCCAUAAAUUCACAAUAGGAGGUCUACCCAAAAUAUAGGAGACCUUCCUUGUUUUCUCUAGAAAAUGUAAGGAUACCUGUGAGACCCUCAUGGGCUUGCCGUUGGUUAUCAUUCAUUUUCCACAAAUAACUAAAGGGUCUUCUUUUUGAUCAUAGAUUUCAUUGACUGCAUCAUUUGCUGUAGCUCUUCUUUGUAAUUCUUAUGUUUUAUGUGCCUUUGCAUGUUUAUACUAAAGCUCUACAUGAAGUUAAGGUAUGAUAGCUCAUGUAUUUGCUAAAUAACACUUCACCGUUACAUAACAUAUAACAUCUAAUUCUUGAAAAAAUUAAAUAACUUUUUAUUCAAUUAGUAACUUCACUUAAUAUUGAUAUUUUGAAUGUCAUCCUUUGGUGAAAGAAAUAACUGUGAAAAUGCUUGAGAUUAAUUAUACAUUUAAUAUUCUCCUUCCCUUCACUUUAAAAGGAAUAGCAUGGCCUUUUUCAAGGAAAAAGUGUUCUUAUGUUUAUAUAAAAAGAUAUAAAUACAUAUCUCUAGAUAGAGAGAUAGAUGGAUGGAUGCACAGAUAGAUAUGUAGCUUGUAUAUAAUAGGUGCUUAAUAAAUGCUUCUUUUUGUAACCAUCUCCCCAACUAGGGUUUCAUUGCCUAUAGAAAGCCUUUCAUAAUGCCCAUAGUUAGAGCUUUCUUUCUCUUUGAAUUAUUUUGUAUAUACUUAUCAGUUUCCCAGUUUUAUAUUAACCCAACCUUUCCAGUAAAAUAUAAUUUAUUUAAAGGGAGGAGCUUUUCCCCCUUUGUUUUCCAAGUACUUAGGACAAUAUUUUACAUAUUAUAGGUACUUAGUAAGUGCAUGUUAUAUAGCAAGGUGAUAUAUAAAUUUAUAUUACUAUAGUCAUAUAUUUUUACAGAGAGGAAAAAAAACUGUGCCCUACAAUAUUGACAUUGAGUUUUUGGAGAAUAUUUUUGUCAUUUUGAAAGGAUAAAAAAUGUAAAAGGUUGAGUUAAAAGAAAUCAAAGGAAAAUUCCAAUUCUAAAUUAAAUAUCUACAUACAUACUUUCAUAUUAUUUACUAAAAUACUAUGUAAAUUGGUAAUAUUAUAAUUAAAGAUAUAUAUAUAUGUAUAUAUAUAUGUGUAUGGGGUGCUCAGGGAGGGGUAAUAUCUCUGGUAUGCAGGGCUUGUCGUGCCCUCCUAGGGCAGCUCUCCAGCCUCUGACCUGACACCCAGCUCUCACUUAUGGCUCCCAGUAGCUGCUAGCAUGCGGCAGCAGCCACACUCUGGGCAACGGCUUCGACAGGCUGGCUAAACCUUGUGAGGGUAGCCAUCGGGUCAUCGACCCCUGGUGAACCAGGGCUUUGCUCACCCAGCAUGUGAAGACUGCUUCGGCGGAACAGGCAGAAAAAACCAACAAGAAGGUUCAAUGGCUGAGAUGGCGAUGCAGCAAGGCACUGUGGAGUGCUCAGGGCAUGUUGGAGCACAAAAGAGAACAUGGCCAUCCAAUGCAGCUGAGGAAGUCUCCAGGUGUAACGACUUUUCGUGCCAAUGGACCCAGGCUUCCAACGCCGAGAGAGUGGGACUGUCUCUGUGCAUCGACUUUUCCACUUAAAUCUUCAUGCACAGGUGUCUUUGUGCACAAAAACGCACAAAGACAAUCGUCAUCCUCGGUUCGAGAGACAACCAACAUAUAUAACUUUAUUGAAAUUAUUUGAAUUCCAAAUCACAAUAUUAUUUACUUUUCUACAUAUUCUUUGAAAUAUUUUUUUAUAUAAGAGUCAACUCAAGGUUCAUAAAAAAAGAUAAAAAUGUGUAAAAGGAUACUUUUAUGACUUUUUAGUUUGGGAGUUAAUGUUUAAAUGCAUUUUUAAAAAUGCUUGUGAAAUACAAUAUUCCAGAUGAUCCUUGAUUAUUUCUGAAGGCUUUUCUUUAUUUUUAAGUAUGAUCUUAUUCCCACUUAUCCUUUAAUUGCCACCUUCUUCCUCCUAUAAUUCUCUUCCAAAGCUGUUCAGUUUUAAACUGGAUUAAGGUUUGAUAAAGUAAAUUAUUUGUAGGGCAAAACCUUUCCUGUUGACAAAGACAGUGGGAGACAAGCUGUCAAAAUGCAUUUUAUAAAAUCUCCUAAAGUAAACAUUUGUAAGAGAGCCACUUAGACAACAUAACAGCUCUAGAGUUUUAUUCAUUAUAACUCACAAAUGAAUGAACGUGUUAUAAGAAGAAAUGUUAGGACUGGCCUUAGACAUGGUUGUGGCUAGAUAAAACUGAGAGAGACAUGAGGUGUGAUUUCAUCCCCUUUUAAUUUUCUAUACUUAGUGGUGUUUGUUCACUAUCCCCUGUCAGAGAUCCAGUGGCUUCAUGCCCUUCUUACAUCUACCCAUUAAAACAUUUUCUGAAUAUAUUUUCUAGUAUUUAGACAUUUGUGUUUAAUAUGAAUUAGUUUGCCUUUUUAUCACCUCUACACAUAUUUUAAUUCAGUAAUGUUCUGUUCAAGUAAUUUCAGCUAUCACCCCAUACAUUGGUGAAUAUUUGUUUUGUUUCAUUUCUUAGUCAGAAAUCUAUAUUCAUAUAAGGGAAACUAAUUCCUAACCAGCCCUGUCCUGUGCAGAAAUAAGCAUGGCAGUCCUCCUCUCCUAUAUCUUCCCUCUCCGUAAGACUCCCCCUCCUCAUUAUUCUUUAUCCAUAAAAACUCAUGUAUAUACCUGAUGAAACCAAUCAGUGUUAUGAUAAUAGUUGUCAAUUAUGUUGGGGUUUGAUUUGUUUGGCCCCUUAAGAAAACCUUUCUAGAGAUAAAACAUUUUUUCAAAUGGGUUAUUUGAAUGGUGAGGAUUUUAAGAAUUGUAGCAAACCAAUGUAAUAAAUAUUGUAUGUGUGUAUGUUCUCCCCCUUACUCCCAUUAAAUCACUCCAUAAACUACCUACCCAAUGGGUCUGUUUAAUUAAUUUACCCUUAUAAGUAUCUUAACACUGACAUGUCAUUUAAAAACAUUUUGUAUCUCAAAAGCUUAAAUACCUGUUUCUACAGCCACAUUAAGACGUAUAAAUUUGUGUAAACUGAUUAAGAGGACUGCCUGGGCCAAAAGCAACAGUACCCAAAGACAAAUCAAUAGUAAUGCUGGAGCAACAAAGCCAUUUUUGGACCAAGCUUCCUGGGCCUAAAGGAGAUAUUCCUAGAAAAUUCCAGGAACAAACAGCGUCUGGUCCUGGGUUUUAGUAAAAGCUUUGUAGCCAUCUCAUUGCCCCUCAUUGGCAUUAUGAAUUAUAUGGAUUGUGCAGACCCAGGGAAAGAGGAUCAACUCCAAGUUGGAAUGGGGACUUCAAGGCCAAUCUGGGACACUAUAUAGGUCCCCAAGAGAUGUGGAACUCAUUAGAAAAGCAAAUGUUUGUUGUUAAUGUACAUUUCUGUUACUCUUUUGUGUUUUCUAUGAAGUGAAAUAAAGCUUGUGAAUUCAUUA